rnacentral:tRNA from 1 species
UAGCUCAGCUGGGAGAGCACCUGCCUUACAAGCAGGGGGUCACAGGUUCGAGCCCUGU